GGGGAUGUAGCUCAGUGGCACAGCACCUGCCUGGCAAGUGCGAGAACCCAAGUUCAAUUCCUGGUAUACACA
rnacentral:tRNA from 1 species